AGUUGUGGAUGAAGUUUGGUCGAGGGUCCUUUUCCUACCUUAUUCUGCGGAGUAACGGGAAGAUGGAGAGGGAAACUCCUAAGCUGCCUAUCUUCCCCGGUAGAUAUGUUGUGACAUGUUGGGAGUCAGUCUAAGGCCCGGGGUGGUAGCCCGUGAGUCGUAGCCAGUGAGCCAAAAGACGAGCGGACCCCUGGUGACCCGGCUGAAGCCAGACAGUAAUGGUGGAGACAACCCGCUAGUUGAGGACUAGGCACGGUGCGUCGAAAAGCGACUCCGUACAGUGAGCUUUGGUUGAGGUUACGGCUUCCCUUAGUGAUCUCGGUGGCGUAAUUCGUCUGGGUUAGUCUCUGUUGCAGCGAGAUCUUCGGAUCGUCUCCCG
rnacentral:rRNA from 1 species